rnacentral:rRNA from 1 species
UGGAAUUCUACCCCCCUCUGACACACUCUAGCCGUGCAGUCACAAAUGCAAUUCCCAGGUUGAGCCCGGGGAUUUCACAUCUGUCUUGCACAACCGCCUGCGCACGCUUUACGCCCAGUAAUUCCGAUUAACGCUUGCACCCUACGUAUUACCGCGGCUGCUGGCACGUAGUUAGCCGGUGCUUAUUCUUCAGGUACCGUCAUUAGCAGAGGAUAUUAGCCCCCACCGUUUCUUCCCUGACAAAAGAGCUUUACAACCCGAAGGCCUUCUUCACUCACGCGGCAUUGCUGGAUCAGGGUUGCC